GACGAACGCUGGCGGCGUGCUUAACACAUGCAAGUCGAACGAAGUGGCGAACGGGUGAGUAAUACGUGGGUAACCUGCCCUCCUUUUUGGGAUAAGCCCUGGAAACGGGGUCUAAUACCGAAUAAAGGGGGAUGGGCUAGCGGCGUGUUGGCUUGUUGGUGGGGUGAUGGCCUACCAAGGCGGUGACGGGUAGCCGGGCUGAGAGGGCGACCUGCGACAUGGGGACGGAGAUACGGCCCAGAGGCCUACGCGAGGGGGCAGUGGGGGAUAUGGCAGAAUGGGCGAAAGCCUGAUGCAGCGACGCCGAGGGGGGGAUUCAGGCUUUCGGGUUGUAAACCUCUUGCGCUAGGGAAUGGGUAGGUGGAGAAGAAGCGCCGGCUAACUACGUGCCAGCCGCCGCGGUAAUUC
rnacentral:rRNA from 1 species